AAUCUGGGUACAAACAAUUGACUUGCAGGGAAAAGGACUGCCUUUGGAGAUUCACUUGCAAAAAGUAUUUUGGGAAGAUCUAGUACAGUACAGGCAGAGCUGUAACAGUCAUUUAAGGAGUCCCACAGUGGAGACACUUGACAGAAGCAGUGUACGAAGCAGGCAAGACCAGACAAGACAUACAGAAUUAUCCUGAAUUUAAGUUCUGGAUUCAUCACUCUUCAAUAUAGAACAUGAAUGAGUUGAGAAAAAGCACACAGUCCAUGGCCAGAAUGUGCAUGUGCACACAAGGACAAAAUAGAAAAAGAGACAAGCUAAUGCAUGAGAAAUGACCUGAGGAAUAAGUUCAUUACAACAGAAUAUGAGGUGGUGAGGGGAGAAGAUGAGGCAGCAAGGAGGGCUAAAAGCAAUUACCUCUGAAGUCAUCCAGAGACAGCCAGAAGAGUAAUUAUGGCAAGAAUACGGGAAGCUAGGAAAAAUGGGAAUGAAGAAGCUGCAAAAGAAAGGUUCCAGAAGGGACUCAUCAGCACCAGAACCAUGGGAUCCGGUUGUCCUGGCAGAGAGAGUAUAUGUCACCAGAAAAUACAAGCUUUUGAGGAGAUGGAACAGAAAAUGUGGACACUGAGAAAAAGUUGAAAAAAAUAACAUGGAUUCCAAGGCACAGGAGAUUAAUGGAGUUGUUAUUUACAGGGGAAAAAUGAAUUGAUUCCCAGGAGAACAGAUCCAGGACAGCUUUACAAAUGAGAAGUCCAAAAGCUUUGCUAUAUAACAACAUACUGGAAAUAUAUUUGAAUAAAAAGUUCUGAGAAAAUAAAGAACUGAAUCAAAGAAACCUAGUCUUGAGGUACUAGGAAAAGCAAGCACAAAACUAAGCUACCUGUGAAAGGAGCCUUUCAAGGGUAUGCAAUCUUCUAGUGCUAUGGUUGGUAACGACAGCAACAGCUUACAUGAAUACUAAAAUCCUUCAGCUGCAAAUGAAAGUGUAAACUGUGACUGACAGACUAUAAUGCAGGACGAGAUCUGCAAACACGAACAAGGUAUUUCUAGUAGCAAUUUUCUAGGUUUUUUUUCAACAGUUUAGGAGUAAGCAUUCAGUUCCAGUUUGGUUUUUAUUUAGCUAUAGUAAAAAAAGGCUUUUAAGAUGUCACGGGGGUGGGAGGUGGAUAGAGAGAAUAAGCCAGAAAAAUUGUUACAAUUUUUGGAACAAAAAAUCCUGGAGAGACAACACAAAAAUUUUCUUUGGGUUUGAGGUAUAUGCCAUAGAAGUGAGGUUGAGUGAAAGAAAUGAUCAUGUGCUGAUGAUCAAAAAAGAUCUCCUGAGCUAAAUGGCUCAGGAGCCAUGGCUAAAAUGAUGGUAAGAAAAUUACAUACCUAUAACAAACUUUAAUUCUCAGGUCAUUGACACUGACAGGAUACCCCUGCUGAACAAAGUAUUAUGAAGAUCAAACUGAUUUUUGUGGGGCAUGAUACAAUUGACAUUGCAUUUGUGGAGCCUAGAGAGUGGCACACAGGCUGCCUGCAGUGAAGUCCGGGUUUAGAUGUAGUAGAACAUGGCUCUUAUCACUUCUAACCUACCACUUGUAGUUAAAAAAGGAUUGAAAUAUGAAAGAUCUUAAUGACAAAAGAAUGGUGAUUCUGAUCCUUGAUACUCUACCCUGCAAAUUGCAGAAUAGUAAUAAGAAAGCAAAAACGCUGUGUAAUUUUCAGAUAUUACAUGCAAGUAAUCCUCAGAGUUACAAAGUCUGUAUUGAUGUAAUCUGUGGCUGAAGAAAUUAAGGAUUUGCAACAGCAGAUCUGGUUAGAGAAUGGUAAAGGAGAAAGCACAGGAUUUAGAGCUUCAAAAGAUACCAGGAAUCUGUGAACACGGUCCAUGGUUCCAAACAGUAACUUCAUCCAGAGCUCUCCCUAGAGGUGGGGAUUAUCCCCAGAAGGGUGUGCAUUAUGAAUACUUAAACCAUAUUUCUUCUGCUUCCAGAGGGAGGAAGACAAGGGACGAGUUUGUCAUUUUGCCUGAAAUGAACACAGACUGAGCAAGUGGACUUUCACUAUACAGCGGCAGCGUUAGUGAUUUAAGGGGGAUUUACAAAUUAGAAUGUGUCUACAAGCACUUCCAAAACUGACCAAGUAUUGCUGGAAAGCUACUCAACUGCCUGUUACAACAAUUUGUGAAGAAUUUUUAUUAUUAGGAAUUGACUGGAAUGGACUGUGACAAAUGCAUUAAAUUUCUGUUGCUACCUAAGUAUUACAACUUGACAGAGUAAGACUUCAUGACAGUAAACAGGUGCCACUUUGAUGUUGCCCUUACUACAAACUAAAAUUUUAUUUUAAACAGCAGAGGCUUAUUGUGUUGUCUUCAUGGAUUAUUAUGAAAAUACACACCUUUUCAUUUUAUUGUUUUUUUUCCUAGAAUGUUUAAGGAUGUCAUGACAGUGCUUAUACAUUUCCCCAAUGGUUUGGCUUGAAAUAUUUUGUAUUCCAUCUCUAUUGAAAUGAUUUACUGCCAGAAUCAAAAAAUUCACAGCCCCAAUCUGGAGUUGCAGCCUAAUAAUUCUUUCACAUAGAAAACUUAAUGUCUCUUUGCUUAUAUCCAGUGCGGCACUCAAAAUACUUUCAAGAUUAUUUAUGUACAUAAUACACAUCAAUAUGUAGAAUAUGUCUCUCUAAUUUCUUGUGAAACAAUUGCCUCUUGUAAAUAUUUUAAUUUUGAGAGCAUUUUAGUUGGUUCAAUAGAAGUUAAGACAUGAUUUAACACUGGUCUACAUGUCUAUCAUGUAAACACUACUGCACUGAUUUAUCUUGAAAUUCUGAAUGCCUGUUAUAACUUGGGUUAUUACAACGCUUUUUCUAGGGCUCUUGGUAUCAAACCGUUGUUGAUGGACUGUAUUUGGGCAGCUCUUACUGUAUUAUUUUAAGAUGAUUCAACUGUCAAUUUUUAGACUGUCAAAGUGUUAAGCUUUAUUGCAUAUUAUUAAAAAGAGUCUCUUCCAGCA